GCGGCCAUAGAACCUUGAAAGCACCGCAUCCCGUCCGAUCUGCGAAGUUAAGCAAGGUAUCGCCUAGAGUUGAGAAUUUUUGGUGCUAAGUUU